UUUCCGUAGGUGAACCUGCGGAAGGAUCAUUAACACGAAUUAUUUAUUAUCCAAUAUCAAAAACCAAACGUGAACCUUUUCCCUCCCUAUAUAUAUAUAGGCUAACCUCAUUUAAUUAAUUUUUAACACUUUAAACCUUAACUAGUUUUAAUGUAGCCAUUAAAACAUCUAAACUAAAAAAGACAAGGUUAUUCGAAAGAGUAAACUUUAACUUUUUUCGAUUUACGAAAAAUUUAAAAGAACAACUCUUAACAAUGGAUAUCUUGGUUCUC
rnacentral:misc_RNA from 1 species